GCUAGCGUGGUGUAGUGGUUUGAGUAUUGGACUAGGACUCUGGAGAUCAGGGUUCAAAUCCCAGCUCGGUCA